UAAAACUGCAGCCUUCGUGAGCAUGGGUCAGCAUUAAGUUUGUUCUCAUACAGAAGCAGAUUCUCACAGAAGAUUUUGGAGCACAAACUGCUAAGAAAGAAGGUGUGAAGACAAAACCACUGAAAUAAUAAGGAUCUGGGAGAUGCACUCAGGCGAGCAAUUGGGGAAAUCUGGAUGACAGGCUCCAAAAUCCUUUGUGAAGGCAGGUAUUUCCCCUGGUGGUGAACUGUGCAGUCUUUCGGGCCAGGAGGCGCGGGUCUGAAUGCCAGGUGACAUUUACAGG